rnacentral:rRNA from 1 species
GACGAACGCUGGCGGCGUGCUUAACACAUGCAAGUCGAACGGGAUAAUUUGAGAGCUUGCUCUUAGAGAAUCUAGUGGCAAACGGGUGAGUAACACGUAGACAACCUGCCGACAGGAUGGGGACAACAUUCCGAAAGGAAUGCUAAUACCGAAUGAAGCGGAGGAGAGGCAUCUCUCCUCCGUGAAAGAUGGCCUCUGAAUAUGCUAUCACCUGUCGAUGGGUCUGCGUCUGAUUAGCUAGUUGGUGAGGUAACGGCUCACCAAGGCGACGAUCAGUAGCCGGUCUGAGAGGAUGAACGGCCACAUUGGGACUGAGACACGGCCCAGACUCCUACGGGAGGCAGCAGUGGGGAAUCUUCCGCAAUGGGCGCAAGCCUGACGGAGCAACGCCGCGUGAGUGAAGAAGGUCGUCGGAUCGUAAAGCUCUGUUGACGGGGACGAACGUGCGAAGGGUGAAUAAUCCUUUGUAAUGACGGUACCUGUCGAGGAAGCCACGGCUAACUACGUG